rnacentral:misc_RNA from 1 species
GUGAAUCAUCAAAUUUUUGAACGCAAAUUGCACUCUCUGGUAUUCCGGAAAGUAUGUCUGUUUGAGGGUCUGUUAAUUUAAAAUCUGUGUUGUUGCUACCCGUAGUGGUGGGUGAUGCAGCGGAAUUGAGUCGUUCUUUAUUUUUGGUCUAAGUGGCUUAAAUUGAUGUUCGAUUUUUUAACGUAUUUAAAUUAUUACUUACUUUCGUAUUUCCACAUAUUAGGUGCGGUCAUCCAAAUGAGGU